AUUCCUGUGAUCUUCUUGCCCAGCUUCCUUCUUCUCUGUCCUUAGACUCUGGGAUUUAUGCACAUCCAUUAAUAUCAAACCAGCCAAUUUGGUUGAAUUCAUCUUCUAACAGAGAUUCAAGUGCCAUGGCAGAAAGAGAUGAGACCAGAGUUUUGGUUCCAAGUGCAGAGGGUUGAUUGAGCUGUUUGUCUCCAAAGAUAUCUCUGAUGACCAACAAUUGAUUGAUUAUAUCACAGCCCAAUGCAACAUUUCACUGGAGCAAGACACCCUGCUUGGUGUUGGCUGCAAUACAAGCUUCCCUGUCAAUAUAAAUGACAUGAGCACUGAAAUACAGCCACAGCCUUUCCAGGGAAUGAGAAUGAAGGAAAUGAUCAUCUAAACAGUAAUCAUUUCCAGCUGCCGCCUGUUGUUUCCCCAGUGGAUCAUGAUUUGAAUGUGCCAUACAACAUAUCUGUUGAUCGAAUCCUACUCUGCAGCAUGUCUCCAAUGAAU